UAACACGUAGGGGGCGAGCGUUGUCCGGAUUUAUUGGGCGUAAAGAGCUCGUAGGCGGCUCACUAAGUCGGGUGUGAAAACUCCGGGCUCAACCCGGAGACGCCACCUGAUACUGGUGUGGCUAGAGUCCAGUAGGGGAGCGUGGAAUUCCCGGUGUAGCGGUGAAAUGCGCAGAUAUCGGGAGGAACACCAGCGGCGAAGGCGGCGCUCUGGGCUGGAACUGACGCUGAGGAGCGAAAGCGUGGGUAGCAAACAGGAUUAGAUACCCUGGUAGUCCACGCCGUAAACGUUGGGCACUAGGUGUGGGUUCCAACCAACGGAAUCCGUGCCGUAGCUAACGCAUUAAGUGCCCCGCCUGGGGAGUACGGCCGCAAGGCUA
rnacentral:rRNA from 1 species